UCUGUACUUUCCAGAAAAUCAGGUUUUGAGAAAGAUAGAGGCAGUGGUCUAAAGCAGUGAAAUAAUAAUAGACAUGCUAUAAUAAUAAUAAAAUGAUAGUAAUUGUUUGGCAUAAUUCCUUGUGCCAAACUUUAUGAGAAAUCCUAUAUAAGUGUUAUUCCUUACCCAUCUCUAUUAAGCUAGUGCCAUGAUCCCAUUUUGCAGGUGAGAAAAUGGAAGUUGAGAAAAAUUAAACCAUGUGCCUAAGAUCAUGGCUCUGGGGAAGAGUGGAGGCAGGAUUUGAACCCACAUCCAUCUGACUCUAAGGCCAGGGAGCUAAUCCACUAGGCAAACUGCCCAACUACGGGACCAGUACUGAACAUGUCAGAAGAUCUGAAUCUGAGUCUUCAAUCUGCACUUUCUAUGUGACUUUUUUAUUUUCCUUUUAAGGGCCGCACCCAAGGCAUGUGGAAGUUCCCGGGCUAGGGGUCCAAUCGGAGCUGCUGCUGCCGGCCUGCACCACAGUCUCAACAAUGCCAGAUUCAAGCCAUAUCAGUGACCUACACUGCAGCUCAUGGCAACACCAGAUCCUUAACCCACUGAGUGGGGGCCAGGCAUCGAACCCGUAUUCUCAUGGAUACUAGUCAGGUUCGUUACCACUGAGCCACAAUGGGAAACUCUCCCUAUGUGACUUUAAGCAAGUGAUGUGUUCUGCUUGAACGCUGCCUGUAAAAUUAGGGUUGAUGAUAAGGCAAAAGAGAUGAUGUGAAAAUGAAAAAGUUGAGCAAACAGCCAGGACAACCUCCUCUUCCAAAGUUUCUUUCUCUUACCUCCUUCUUCUCUCCACCCUCUUCCUGUGAUGGACUGAGCUGCUAUACCAGGUGCUUCUGCUCCAUAACAAACCACCCCGAAACUUAGUGGCUUCAGACAACCACCAUCAUCAUUUAGUAUUUUGUUAUUUUGCAGAAUUCUAUGGUGGGUUGGAUGGUUCUCAUCUAGUUGGCUUGAUGAGACUCUCCCCCGUGUCUAUGACCUAAUGGGGGGAUGGGGUCAGGUGGGGGCCAGCUGUUCUAGAAUGGCUAUGAUCACAUGUCAGGGGUUGGAUGGUUGUGAGUCAGGAAAUAGGGUGAUGAGCCACACACCUCAACCUCCGGCAGGCUGUCUGGGACUUGUUCACGUGCUGGUCCCAGGAGAAUGAGAGAAAAUUUAUGAAACCCCCAAGCCCAGGCUCACAGCUGGCACGUGCUCUCCCUCCACCACAUUCUAUUAGUUGACGAAGUGAGUCACUGUCCAGCCCAGACGCAGCAGGUAAGGAAACAGACUCCACCCAGAUGAGAGGAGCUCAAAGUCACAUGCACAGCUAGGAAGGGUGUGUGGUCGUUUUGACCAUCAGUGACCACACUCAGCCAGUUUUUCUGGAGCCAAAUGUGUGCGCCAGCCUUCUCGAGUUCUCUCUGCCCUCAAACCCAGACAGUUUGUUUUUCCAGCAGGGCAGAGAUUGCAGGUCUGGAUGGCGUUUUUGUGUUUGUGUUUGUUUUGACUUGUAGCUAUUUCCAGGAUGUUUCUCUCUGAAAGGAAAAUGGCUCAGUUCUGUCAGCCCUGUUUAUUAAGAUGAGCAGUGACAGAGCAUGGCUUUGUGGUCAGAGGUCCUGGCACCUGGGGCGGAGUCAGCAGAGACUGAGACAGGCUCUUGGAGUCCUGGAAACAUACUUUCAAAAUAAGAUGAUGGUAUCCUUCCGAGGUGCUUGGAGCUGUCUGUUGGCCAGGGUUUUGAGAGCCAAAAUCUUGACUCGUGUCCCCAGCCCUGCCUGGGUGACAAGGCAGGUUCACCUUGCCAGCUGGUUGGAGGGACUCCUGGCCUGAGGAAUCUAUGGAACUCUCGGUCCUCAGAUGACAAUGUCUGGUUCUCGCUUCCUCUGUUUUCAAGAUUGGAGAUAGCACAGCAAUUCAGACAGUGGCAGAGGGCCUUAGAAUGUCCCUUUGAUGGAAUCACCCACGGCCCCCUCUGAAGAAGGAUGAGAGGGGUCACAUGCUCCCGACAGGGUCCUCCUGAUGGGUGUGCAUGCUGAGGGCAGGUGCAUGCCCAGUUUGGGUCACUUCUCACCAUCUGGGGCUGGGACAAGGAGGACCUAGAGGGGAAAAUCACUCUCAUGCACUUUUCUGGCAGAACUUCUAAGAACAGGGCCCGCUCUGGAGGAACUCUUGCAACACAGCUGAGAUGCUGCAGGGACAUGGAAGGGUCACAGGGGUAGUAGGGGUCCAACAUCCCUCCCCAGCCUCUCUUCCCUCAGGUGGAGUCAGGCAUGGUGGCAUUCCUAAGUGAGUGGGCAAAUGAGAAACUUCCCCUGCCCACACGUAGGUAUUAAACGAGGUCCGGCAGGAAGCCAGUAUCAGAUCUGCCUGGAGGCUACAUGGGGAAGCCAGAACCUCCACCCAAACCAGCCAUGGACACCUCACUCCACCCCCAUUCUCCCAGGAGCACAGAGGUUCAGUGGCACCUGCGGGAGGCACAGCAUGGCUCUGGGAAAACGGCCUGCUGGGCUUCAUCCCCAAGUACUCGUUUUCUGGCUCCGAGAAGAUGCCAGGUUCAUUUCUCACCCACAGGAAAGUCUCCAAAUCUGAAAACCAAGGAGGCUCCCCACACCGUACCUGGACCAGGGCAAACACAAUAGAAACCCAUCGAUUUCUUUCUGUGUUUUCUCCCUGCUGGCUCCAGCACCAUGGCCUGGGGACAGCAGAUCUGGGCCAAGCAAGGUUGGUUCCUGCCCCACUUCAUUAGCAAGUUCUGAUCGGAGGCUGGUCCAGCCCUGUCCUGAGAGGCGCCCCCCACCAACACACACCCAUCGGAUUUUCUUGUUCCCUCCAUGAACAACCCCUCCUCACACUCAUGCCCUUUCCUUUCCCCUGUGACUCUGGUUGCCAGGCACCUCCUAGCAGAUGGUUGCAGUCAGCCUGGAGGAAGAGAGAAACUAAGGGACCCUGAGGAUGAGGAUCCAUUCCUGCAGGAUCCAGAACCCGGGAGGGUUCCCAAGCCCCAUGACAGCCCCGUCUCUGAGAGCCACCAUGAGAACCUGGUGAGCCUCGCCCAGGAGCUUUGCCCAUUUCAUAGCAUCACCCACUUCGGAAUGUUCUCACUUUAGCCCUUCUGCUUGGGAACAUCCUACUCCUUCCUUUUCUCAACUGUUCCACCCAGGUUGAUUCCAUCUUUCUUUGUGUUUUGAAGAAUAUCCUCUCUUCUGGUAUCCAGUGGACAAUUUGAUUGUGUGAUGUGAGCAGGAAUCUGGCCCUGAGAGGGAGAAGCAUAACUUAUGAAGGCUGGAAAGUACCCUUGGUCUUGACCUCAAGAGCCUGGUGGGGAAUCUGGGGAGGUCUUCAAGUCUACAGUGUCUGGAAUACACACACACACAUGCCUGCCCAGACUGGAUCCCCAAAGUUCCCUUCAACACAACAUUUAGAGUUAGACUUUUCAGAUUCUAAUAAAAGGGUUCAAUUAAACUAAGUAAAUGGAGGCAGAGGGGAUGGUUAGUUUCUAUGUGAAGGGAAGGGAAGCUGAGAGAGAAGAGACGGGGGAGAUGCUUCACUGAAUAUCAGAGAUUUCAGGAUUUAGCAGACAGAUCUGCCAGUAGACAUCUCUGUGUCCAGGGGAGGUUUUCUGGAAUGAAAUCUUUACUGUUUUCUUUUUUCUUUUCUUUUCUUAUAUUUUCUGGCCUCCACAUGCAGCAGCUUGAUGUGGAUCUACUCCCAGACCAGGGAGUGGACCUCAGGCUGCAGAAGUAAAAGCACAGAAUCCUAACCAUUAGACCACCAGGGACCUCCCAAGCUUUAUUCUUUCAACCGUCUCUUGGCUAUACUUGGUAACAUCUGGUCUCCUGGGAGGAAAUGCAAGGUUAGCCCAUGGGGUCGACACCAAGUGUGAGCGAGGAUGUCCCCUGAGGCCAAGCCCUCAAGUAUCUUUUUUUCUCCUACUGUCUCCCCAGGGUGUGGGCUUCUCCACACACCCCACAGCCCUCUCCAUCUGCGCUGGCCCUGCAUUCACCCUGCUCCAGGUUCUCUCUGCAGCUGACAUGACACAAGGGCCGUGGCAGGCCCAGGAAACAGCUUCAGCACCUCCAAGCUUCCUUUGGCUAGAGGUGCAGCAGGGGCACUAAGUCUCCCAAGAUUCUACUGCACUCAAAUCCACAUAAGGCAAUCAGGCCUCACCAGAUGGGCACAUCCAGUCAAACCACCCUCGCCCACUCCCAGUCCAUGCAGCAGCCCCCCCCACCCCCGGGUAUCAUGCAUAUUUCCACUCAUUCACAGAGCUGGACGCCUGGAACCUGCCCUGCUUCUCUCUUUGAAAAUCCGGUGAAAAUGUGUGAGUUGUUGCCUUUCCAUCUUUUUGAAAUUAUAAAGACAUUUAUCACCACAUUACAGAAAAUGAAGAAACUGCAAUUAAAAUGUUUAUUUCUCUUUCUGUUUAGUCCUUAUUGGUACACAUAUAGGUUUUCCUUCUUCGGAUUCUUUUCCGUUCUGGUUUAUUACAGGACCUUGACUCUAGGUCCCUGUGCUGGACAGGAGGACCUUGUUGUUUAUCCAUCCCGCAUAUCAUAGUUUGCCACUGUUAAUCCCAAACUCCUAACUUAUCCCUCUCCCACCCUUUUUCCCCUUUGAUAACCAUAAGUUUUGUUUUCUAGUCCAGGAGUCUCUGUUUUUUUCAGUAAAUUUAUUUGUGAGGGGUUUUUUGCUUAUAUAGCAGUAAUCAGAAUGUAGGGAAUUCUAUUGACUGACUUAUUCUCCGCUUGAGCUGUACUUUGUGACCCGUGAGGCCUCUGGGCCCUGGAAUCCACCCAUGGCAGGAUGGGGGCCAGGAGCUGCUCAAGGGCUGACCCUGCACUCCUUGUCCUUGACCUCCACAGGGAGAGAUAAAUUGCCUUCCUGAGCUGAACAUCCUGGUGUAUCUAGUGUCAGGGCUCUGGCCCUGCACCCUGGCGAGUCUGCCUUUUGCAAGAGGGAGGUUGAGCACGCUCCUUCUCCCAGUGGGUGAUGCAAAGCCGGUGCUUCACAGAACAGAGCCGUCAGUGUCUCUGGAGGAUGGACCUUGGCACCGGGUUCAGAGUGGGUGGAACACUGGGUUUUUGUUAGUGCGCCAAGCCCAUCGGUUCCACAGUUUCCACAAACCCAGCGGUUUUUCCUGACGCUGCCAGAGGUUGGGAGGGGGCGGCUGGGGCUGUGGAGCAGGACCCCAGGGACCAACCCCCCUCACUGCCACAGCCUCCUUGGUGCCUAGUCAGUUUCUUCCCAUGCAAACACUCAGCUCCCUCCCUAAC
rnacentral:lncRNA from 1 species